AACGAACGCUGGCGGCAGGCCUAACACAUGCAAGUCGAGCGAGGACUUCGGUCCUAGCGGCGGACGGGUGAGUAACGCGCGGGAACGUGCCCUUUGCUUCGGAAUAGCCCUGGGAAACUGGGAGUAAUACCGGAUGAGCCCUUUGGGGGAAAGAUUUAUCGGCGAAGGAUCGGCCCGCGUUGGAUUAGGUAGUUGGUGGGGUAAUGGCCUACCAAGCCGACGAUCCAUAGCUGGUUUGAGAGGAUGAUCAGCCACACUGGGACUGAGACACGGCCCAGACUCCUACGGGAGGCAGCAGUGGGGAAUCUUAGACAAUGGGGGAAACCCUGAUCUAGCCAUGCCGCGUGAGCGAUGAAGGCCUUAGGGUUGUAAAGCUCUUUCAGCUGGGAAGAUAAUGACGGUACCAGCAGAAGAAGCCCCGGCUAACUCCGUG
rnacentral:rRNA from 1 species